rnacentral:rRNA from 1 species
GAUUAACGCUGGCGGCGUGCCUAACACAUGCAAGUCGAGCGGCAGCGAGUUUUACACUGAAUUCUGGAAGCUUCUAGUUGAAAGAGAAGAUUUAUUCAAGAAUUUUGUGUAAAAUGUCGGCGAGCGGCGGACGGCUGAGUAACGCGUGGGAACGUACCCCAAAGUGAGGGAUAACGCAUCGAAAGGUGUGCUAAUACCGCAUAUGGUCUUCGGAUUAAAGCCUUCGGGCGCUUUGGGAACGGCCUGCGUAAGAUUAGAUAGUUGGCGGGGUAAUGGCCUACCAAGUCGACGAUCUUUAACUGGUUUGAGAGGAUGAUCAGUCAGACUGGAACUGAGACACGGUCCAGACUCCUACGGGAGGCAGCAGUGAGGAAUCUUCCACAAUGGGCGAAAGCCUGAUGGAGCAACGCCGCGUGCAGGAUGAAGGCCUUCGGGUUGUAAACUGCUUUUAUAAGUGAGGAUUAUGACAGUAACUUAUGAAUAAGGAUCGGCUAACUACGUG